ACACACUUUAAACACUCCGCCACGUCCUCACUACCCUGAACGCGAGACCUUCGUUAGAGUGGAAUUACAGCACGUUUCCAGCCCUCCGUGCCUUGUGGUGUCCAGUGUCCACAGCAGACCAGUGUCCACAGCAGACCUGCGUCACUGACUUACCGUAGUCAGCCGGCGACUGAUUGUGGCGGCCAUUAGCUGGUGCUGACUGCUGAGAGGUUGGAUCCUGCAGGCUUCAUUUCACUGGCAGGCUCUUAAGUGUGAUUGGACACCUCUUACCCAGACUCGAUCAAUAAAAUUCCAUAUGGAUGCCAGACAACUUGGGCUCCACCACACCCUGAGGGUGCGGACUCACCUUUGGCUUGGCUCGGCCCCGGUUGGCAGAUCGUCCCCUGCGUGUUGUAUUCUUGGGACCACGUGGAACACCCUUGGGCCAA